AGGGCUUUCCCUUCGGGGACAGAGUGACAGGUGGUGCAUGGUUGUCGUCAGCUCGUGUCGUGAGAUGUUGGGUUAAGUCCCGCAACGAGCGCAACCCUUGAUCUUAGUUGCCAGCAUUCAGUUGGGCACUCUAAGGUGACUGCCGGUGACAAACCGGAGGAAGGUGGGGAUGACGUCAAAUCAUCAUGCCCCUUAUGACCUGGGCUACACACGUGCUACAAUGGACAGAACAAAGGGCUGCGAGACCGCAAGGUUUAGCCAAUCCCACAAAUCUGUUCUCAGUUCGGAUCGCAGUCUGCAACUCGACUGCGUGAAGCUGGAAUCGCUAGUAAUCGCGGAUCAGCAUGCCGCGGUGAAUACGUUCCCGGGUCUUGUACACACCG
rnacentral:rRNA from 1 species